UAAACGUACGCAGUAGCCCGAUCUCCGACAGCGGGGAAAGGGAGCGAAGCGUAUGUUGGCAAAAUUAGGUGGCGCUUGUGUCGCCGUUUAGGAGCCACGUGCCACUCCGGCGCAAAAUCAGUACUCGGUGCGACAGGUCGCCGAACGUCUGAGAUGCAAUAAUUUCGUUCCAUAUUUGUUCUCGGGAAAAGUGUGUUGUAGUUGAAUGGAUAAUUACCUGGAAAAAAGAGGAGAGGUGAAGUUUGACCCUAAGCCUAGACCAUCAGGAACCAACAAAAAAUGCAAUACAACUAUUAAAAA